UCACGAAAGUGGAUUGUACUAGAAGUCCGCAGGCUGACCCGCAAGGGGAGCAGCGGCCCAAGGUAUGAUUCAUGAUUGGGGUGAAGUCGUAACAAGGUACCC
rnacentral:rRNA from 1 species